GACGAACGCUGGCGGCGUGCUUAACACAUGCAAGUCGAACGGAAAGGCCUCCACCUUGGUGGGGGUGCUCGAGUGGCGAACGGGUGAGUAACACGUGGGUGAUCUGCCCUGUACUUCGGGAUAAGCUUGGGAAACUGGGUCUAAUACCGGAUAGGACCAUGGUUUAGUGUCUCAUGGUGGAAAGAUUUUUUGGUGCAGGAUGAGCUCGCGGCCUAUCAGCUUGUUGGUGGGGUAAUGGCCUACCAAGGCGUCGACGGGUAGCCGGCCUGAGAGGGUGGACGGCCACAUUGGGACUGAGAUACGGCCCAGACUCCUACGGGAGGCAGCAGUGGGGAAUAUUGCACAAUGGGCGCAAGCCUGAUGCAGCGACGCCGCGUGGGGGAUGACGGCCUUCGGGUUGUAAACUCCUUUCGUUAGGGACGAAGCCGCACCUUUUUUGGGUGUGGUGACGGUACCUUUGUUAAGAAGCACCGGCUAACUACGUGCCAUCAGCCGCGGUAAUACGUAGGGUGCGAGCGUUGUCCGGAAUUACUGGGCGUAAAGAGCUCGUAGGUGGUUUGUUGCGUCGUCUGUGAAAUUCCGGGGCUUAACUUCGGGGUGGCAGGCGAUACGGGCAUAACUAGAGUGCUGUAGGGGAGACUGGAAUUCCUGGUGUAGCGGUGGAAUGCGCAGAUAUCAGGAGGAACACCGAUGGCGAAGGCAGGUCUCUGGGCAGUAACUGACGCUGAGGAGCGAAAGCAUGGGGAGCGAACAGGAUUAGAUACCCUGGUAGUCCAUGCUGUAAACGGUGGGCGUUAGGUGUGGGGACCGGUUUGGUUUCUGUGCCGUAGCUAACGCAUUAAGCGCCCCGCCUGGGGAGUACGGCCGCAAGGCUAAAACUCAAAGGAAUUGACGGGGGCCCGCACAAGCGGCGGAGCAUGUGGAUUAAUUCGAUGCAACGCGAAGAACCUUACCUGGGUUUGACAUGCACCAGACGGUUGUAGAGAUACGUACCUCCCUUUGUGGUUGGUGUGCAGGUGGUGCAUGGUUGUCGUCAGCUCGUGUCGUGAGAUGUUGGGUUAAGUCCCGCAACGAGCGCAACCCUUGUCUUAUGUUGCCAGCACUUUGGGUGGGGACUCAUGAGAGACUGCCGGGGUUAACUCGGAGGAAGGUGGGGAUGACGUCAAAUCAUCAUGCCCUUUAUGCCCAGGGCUUCACACAUGCUACAAUGGUUAGUACAACGCGCUGCGAGCCUGUGAGGGUGAGCGAAUCGCUGAAAGCUAAUCUCAGUUCGGAUUGGGGUCUGCAACUCGACCCCAUGAAGUCGGAGUCGCUAGUAAUCGCAGAUCAGCAAUGCUGCGGUGAAUACGUUCCCGGGCCU
rnacentral:rRNA from 1 species